rnacentral:lncRNA from 1 species
AAACAUCCAUCUAUCAAUGAUUUGAAGUGUGGAAGAUCUUAUCAAUCAAGCAAUCAAAAAAUGAAUAAAAAGUUGACUUAAAAAGAAUUAAAAGAUAGUACUUAGAUGUUAAUGAUCAAUCGAAAUUGCAAGAAGAAAAGAAAAUUAAAAUCAAAAUAUAAAGCAACUAUUCAUGAUAAAAUGAAAUAAAUUGCAAAAAAAUAAAAUGAUAUUAAAAGUAAA